rnacentral:rRNA from 1 species
ACAGGCUUAACACAUGCAAGUCGAGGGGCAGCACAGGUAGCAAUACCGGGUGGCGACCGGCGCACGGGUGAGUAACGCGUAUGCAACUUACCUAUCAGAGGGGGAUAACCCGGCGAAAGUCGGACUAAUACCGCAUGAAGCAGGGGCCCCGCAUGGGGAUAUUUGCUAAAGAUUCAUCGCUGAUAGAUAGGCAUGCGUUCCAUUAGGCAGUUGGCGGGGUAACGGCCCACCAAACCGACGAUGGAUAGGGGUUCUGAGAGGAAGGUCCCCCACAUUGGUACUGAGACACGGACCAAACUCCUACGGGAGGCAGCAGUGAGGAAUAUUGGUCAAUGGCCGAGAGGCUGAACCAGCCAAGUCGCGUGAGGGAUGAAGGUUCUAUGGAUCGUAAACCUCUUUUAUAAGGGAAUAAAGUGCGGGACGUGUCCCGUUUUGUAUGUACCUUAUGAAUAAGGAUCGGCUAACUCCGUGCCAGCAGCCGCGGUAAUACGGAGGAUCCGAGCGUUAUCCGGAUUUAUUGGGUUUAAAGGGUGCGUAGGCGGCCUUUUAAGUCAGCGGUGAAAGUCUGUGGCUCAACCAUAGAAUUGCCGUUGAAACUGGGGGGCUUGAGUAUGUUUGAGGCAGGCGGAAUGCGUGGUGUAGCGGUGAAAUGCAUAGAUAUCACGCAGAACCCCGAUUGCGAAGGCAGCCUGCCAAGCCAUUACUGACGCUGAUGCACGAAAGCGUGGGGAUCAAACAGGAUUAGAUACCCUGGUAGUCCACGCAGUAAACGAUGAUCACUAGCUGUUUGCGAUACACUGUAAGCGGCACAGCGAAAGCGUUAAGUGAUCCACCUGGGGAGUACGCCGGCAACGGUGAAACUCAAAGGAAUUGACGGGGGCCCGCACAAGCGGAGGAACAUGUGGUUUAAUUCGAUGAUACGCGAGGAACCUUACCCGGGUUUGAACGCAUUCGGACCGAGGUGGAAACACCUUUUCUAGCAAUAGCCGUUUGCGAGGUGCUGCAUGGUUGUCGUCAGCUCGUGCCGUGAGGUGUCGGCUUAAGUGCCAUAACGAGCGCAACCCUUGCCACUAGUUACUAACAGGUAAAGCUGAGGACUCUGGUGGGACUGCCAGCGUAAGCUGCGAGGAAGGCGGGGAUGACGUCAAAUCAGCACGGCCCUUACAUCCGGGGCGACACACGUGUUACAAUGGCGUGGACAAAGGGAAGCCACCUGGCGACAGGGAGCGAAUCCCCAAACCACGUCUCAGUUCGGAUCGGAGUCUGCAACCCGACUCCGUGAAGCUGGAUUCGCUAGUAAUCGCGCAUCAGCCAUGGCGCGGUGAAUACGUUCCCGGGCCUUGUACACACCGCCCGUCAAGCCAUGGGAGCCGGGGGUACCUGAAGUCCGUAACCGCGAGGAUCGGCCUAGGGUAAAACUGGUGACUGGGGAUAA